UGCUGCCAGGAAGUCCAAAGACCCCACAUGCCACAACUAACAAUUGGUGCCAUCAAAUAAAUUAAUUCAUUUAAAAAAUUAUCUGUAGAAGUCCUAUCCCCCUACACUUUGGAAUGUGACUAUAUUUGUAGAUGAUAUUCUUAACAAGGUAGUUAAACUCAACGAAGGCACUAGGGUAAGCCCUAGUCCCAGGUCUCACGAAUUCCGCUC
rnacentral:sRNA from 1 species